CCUACGUGAGGCAGCAGUGGGGAAUAUUGCGCAAUGGGCGAAAGCCUGACGCAGCGACGCCGCGUGAGGGAUGAAGGUCUUCGGAUCGUAAACCUCUGUCAGCAGGGAAGAACGGUCACUGUGCUAAUCAGCAGUGAAUUGACGGUACCUGCAAAGGAAGCACCGGCUAACUCCGUGCCAGCAGCCGCGGUAAUACGGAGGGUGCGAGCGUUAAUCGGAAUUACUGGGCGUAAAGCGUUCGUAGGCGGUAUGUCAAGUCAAGGGUGAAAUCCCCGCGCUCAACGUGGGAACUGCCUUUGAAACUGGCAAACUGGAGUGUGUGAGAGGAUAGUGGAAUUCCAGGUGUAGGAGUGAAAUCCGUAGAUAUCUGGGGGAACAUCAGUGGCGAAGGCGACUAUCUGGCACAUAACUGACGCUGAGGAGCGAAAGCGUGGGUAGCAAACAGGAUUAGAUACCCCAGUAGUC
rnacentral:rRNA from 1 species